UUCAUUACUACGAAGCUA
rnacentral:snRNA from 1 species